ensembl:lncRNA
AAUCACACACGCAUGCACACAUGGAACCGUUUAUGGUUUUUUUUUCCCCCUGUCAGUCGGUAGCGCAGACCACAUACAGUCCACAUAAGACAGGAACGUGUUAUUCAAAUUCACUCUGACAAAGCUUUUCAAUAUAUGAUAAAAUUAUUAUUAUUGAUGAAUCCUUGAUUGAUUGAUUGCUGAGUUAUAAAUGACAACAAAUAGGCUGCUCUCAGUUUUUGAAUAAUGACACGACAGAUUGAUUGACCCCCCGAAACUAAAACUUUAUAGUGUAGUUUAUAAUAAUGUCACUCAGUGAAGUGUUGACUGUAACCUCCGACUUCAUGUCACAUUCAGUGGAAAAGGCGUGAUAGGAGGACGUGUGAUUAUGUAAAUAAUAGGGCUAUGCAUAAACCUCUCGGGGAGAGAAAGAGAGAAAGGGGGAGGGAGUGAAAGGGGGAGGGAGUGAGAGAAGGCAGAGGGAAGGGGCCGCAUGGUUCAGUCCGCACAUAAACCGCCUCCGUCUCCACACGGCUCACCGUCUCCUGCCUGUUUCAUUCUCCCGGACACUUAAAGCUCGCGCCGACCGGCUGAUCUUCGAUCAUUUCUCCCCCCGCGGACCUCCACCUGUCCGGUGCGUUCAAAGACGCUCCGAAACGCCGCCGUUCACCUGGGACGCACGAGGACAUCGUUCGCAUGACACCGUCACCGGAUAAAACCAGCGGAUGCACCUCGGCAGAAAGAAGCUGGAAGAGUGAGGACCAGCUGACCUCCGGCCCUUCAGCCAACAUCCCCCCCAAGCCGAGCCCGAAGCGCGCCAUGUCGCUCGGCACGUUCCACCUCAUGCAGACGCUGAAGAACUCCCCCGCCGCGCUGCGGCGCCGCUUUCGUCGCGACCGCACCGAGUCGCUGUCCCACGGCGACCCCCUCUUCAAGGUCCACUACCUGGGCACGGAGAAGAUCUUCUCCCUGGACCGGGAGCAGGCCCAGGACGCCAUCAGCCGCCUGCUGGACGGCGUCGGCGGCGGCGGCGGGAAGAACCUGAGCAAAGACCACGCCCUGGUGGUGCGGCCGCGCUACGUCGAGGUCAAGGAGCUGAGCACGGGCCGGCAGCUCACCAAGACGUACCUGCAGGACAUCGCGUACUGCGCCGCCGACUCCACCCGGCCCAACGUCUUCCUGUACAUCUGCAAGCACCAGAGCCAGCAGCUGCAGUGCCGGGUGUUCUGGUGCAGCCGGGCGGAGCGGGCGCGAGACAUGACGGCGUGCCUGGCGCUCUCCUUCCAGCGGGCGCUGAGCGACCUGCAGACGGACGGCCCGGCAGCGCUGCAGCCCGGGGAGGCCAAGGGGAAGGCCAAGGGGAAGGGGAAACGGGCGGAGGAGAAGACGGCGACGACGACGAACUCUCCAGCCCUCGCCAAGAGCUCCACGCUGCCCGGCAGUCUGGGAAAAGUGCGCUGGAGGAAGUCUCGCAGCCCCCUCAGAGCCAUCACGAGAAGAGGGUCCGCCUCCGACAGCUGCAGCUGA